AAACAAUGAUAUAAUAACAUCAAAUUAUCCGCCAGGGUAUUACGAACAUUAGUUUAAAACCCAAAGGAUCUGGCGGUGCUUAAUACCCAUCUAGAGGAGCCUGUUCUAUAACCGAUAACCCCCGUUAAACCUCACCCCCUUUUGCAACUCCUGCCUAUAUACCGCCGUCGUCAGCUCACCUUAUGAGAGAAUAAAAGUAAGCAAAAUUGGCACAGCCCAAAACGCCAGGUCGAGGUGUAGUACAUGAGGGGGGAAGAAAUGGGCUACAUUGACUAAGUUAGUCUAUACGGAAAGUAAAGUGAAAACUGACUUUUUUGAAGGUGGAUUUAGAAGUAAGUGAAAAAUAGAGAGUUUC
rnacentral:rRNA from 1 species